CGCCCUCUUCCGUUCAUCUAAUUUUUAUGAUACACUGUCAUUAAUCGUCAGCCUAUCCUCGGUACAUGAGUAAAAUAAAACUCCAUGCACGGAUAUGACGGACUUAAAUAUAAAGCAGAGUCUAAUGGAAUCUAGCAGGCCUACGCCCAAGUGUCCAUACGAUGGAUGGAGCGAAGCAUAAGAUGGGUGAGCUAGUAGGGCGCUAAAAAAAUGAAUUUAUAAUUUUUCAUGAGAGAGUUAACGUGCAUAUGCGAAACCGGUUCAGCUCUGGCAUAUCAUGGAGCUUUGGAUGAAGAAUCUUCUUGAUCGCAACUACUCUACUCCUACCGUGUAAGUUAACGGAAGCCGCAAGAGCAGUAAGUUAUUUUUGUUAGUCGUUUGUUGUUUUACAGCUUUUAUUUUUUAUUAUUUUUACAAUAUAUAUAUAUCCAUAGAUUUUUUUAUUAGUCACUUUGGCUUUUUAUCCAUGCAAAGUCGACGAUCCGAGCGCCGUUGCUGCAGCAGCAACCGCAUCUCGAUGGAUAAAAUCCGAUAAAAAUGACAAAGCCGUUAGGUUAGGCGCGCCGAGCGAAACUCACAAGUCCUUCUAUCUCUUUUACUCUUCACUCCCUCUUUUACUCUUUUUACUUUAAACAUUUAUUUUUCUCUUUAACUUGCUCUCACACUACACUCUUUCAUUUAUGUACUUCCUUUCUCAUCCAGCCGUCGCGCGCCGAUGAUAUUCAGCGCACAAGAAACGGCCCCAGGUGUGCUCUCAAUAUCGGUCUAUCAAUAGACCGAUCAAACGAUCAUCGACUAACGUAUCAAAAAAUUAUAUCAAAUCUUUUUAAUACUCUUUUUAUAUACGCAUUCAUCCUCUUAAUACACACAUCCAUAAAUAUAUACGUGUGCAUAUAAUAAGUCCAUGUAUAUGAUUGUCAGUCGUGAAAGCGUACAUAUGAUUGAGGAAAGUCGGGUAAAUGAUCUAAGAUCGUCCUCUUGAAUCCUCUUGGUUCGUCGUUGUGAUAAGUGGCAAUCUAGCUUUAUGAACUAAAUCUCUCUUGAAAGCUGAUGGCCAGAUUAUUUUAAAUAAAAUGAUGUGUGAUGCAGAGUAGCGUAUCGAGAGUAAAUAAAAAAGUAUAAACGAGAUUGCAAAGAGGGCAAGUUGACGAGUGUGAACUGGGUUUGUUGCUGGUUUCUGCUGUAUGCCAGCGGUAAAAUAAAAAGGAUUAAAAAGAAAAAAGAAGAAAUGGCAGAAGAGAGAUGGAAUAAAUGAAAGAUGACUAGUCUUAAGACGGUCAAGAGUCUGAGGGAUGAGAUGGAAUGACGAUGGGGGAAAAAUAGCAGCCAGCAUCCCAAGAUAUUCUUGGGAGAGCCAUCAUCAGAGAGUGCGAUGCAACAACUGUCUCCAUCCGUCAUGUACCCGUCGACCUGCUCCGCCACGGCCACUCUUACAUUAGAUUAUGAGCCUCCACGGUCUUUGCAAUCCAAGUGCUUGAUGCUUGUCUGCAUCCAUGACAUCAAGUCUUUUUUAAAAAUUUGUUAUUGUUAAAUAACAAACAUCGUUAUAUUUUUAAACGGAGUUUAGAUUUUUAGCAGAAGAAGAAAAAAGAGUUGAGAUCAGAUGCUGGGCAUUUAAAUGGACACUAAUAUGAAUAUUAAUAUAAAACAAGUUGAGUUAGUUUUACGUAUUUAGAGUUUGAGGUAAAAGAAAAAGAAAAAGAAUGAGAUUUAUAAAGAUGAGGAUGAUGGUGAUGAUAUUUUGGCGCGUGUUUGUCUGACUUUAUAAUAUGUAUGUUAUUUGUCUACAAUAAAUCGAAGGUGAGUCUGAGUAGUAGAUGACGUAACGACGCCUGUUGAUUCGAAGAAAUGAGUUAGUCAGUGUCGCUGCUGGUUGCUAUACUACUAGUAAACUUUCAUCGUUUUAUUUUAUAGUAUUUCUUUUUUAUAUUAUUUUUAUUCCCGGUUUUAUUUCUUCUUUUCUUCUUCUUCUUUCUAUUGCUUGGGUUAAACUUGUUCUAUUUAUUUUAUUUCUGUAAAGAGUAACAACUUAAGACGGUUAGAUGCUUAAAAGUCAAAAGUGUUUGCAAUAACGCUGUACGCUCCUCGGUGCUUUGUUUUUUUAAACUUAACUACUGGAUCAUAUUUUACUGAUAUAUAAAUAUAUACUCGUAUAACGCGAUAAAGAUCAUCAUAACUUUGAGUAGUUGAUUAAACGAGUUUUUCAUGUGAUGUCUUCUUGUAAUCUUUUUAUUUAUUAUACAUAUAAAUAUAUAUAUAUAUGUUUCUUGAUAUUAUUAUUUUGAUGAUACUGAUGAUAGGUUUUUAUUCAAAAUUGAUAAAUUAUUUAUUUUAUUAAUCAUAAAACUCAAAUAUUGUCACGAUUGUCACGUAAUUGAGAUAGUAAUUGACAUUUAUGCACUUGUUUGAUUAAAAUA